GACAGAGGAUGCAAGCGUUAUCCGGAAUUACUGGGCGUAAAGCGCACGUAGGCGGAUCGAUCAGUCAGGGGUGAAAUCCCGCAGCUCAAGCUGCGGAACUGCCUUUGAUACUGUCGGUCUAGAGUAUGGAAGAGGUGAGUGGAAUUCCGAGUGUAGAGGUGAAAUUCGUAGAUAUUCGGAGGAACACCAGUGGCGAAGGCGGCUCACUGGUCCAUUACUGACGCUGAGGUGCGAAAAGCGUGGGGAGCAAACAGG
rnacentral:rRNA from 1 species